GACGAACGCUGGCGGCGUGCCUAAUACAUGCAAGUCGAACGCAGUGGGGACGGGUGAGUAACACGUGGGUAACCUCCCAUCAGAGGGGAUAACACUUGGAAAAAGGUGCUAAACCGAUACUGAUGGAUGGACCCGGGGGGGAUUAGCCAGUUGGUGGGGUAACGGCUCACCAAGGCCACGAUGCAUAGCUGGCCUGAGAGGGGGAUCGGCCACACUGGGACUGAGACACGGCCCAGACUCCUACGGGAGGCAGCAGUGGGGAAUCUUCGGCAAUGGGCGAAAGUCUGACCGAGCAACGCCGCGUGAAUGAAGAAGGUUUUCGGGUUGUAAAGCACUGUUAUUAGGGAAGCGGUAUCUACCCAGAAAGCAACGGCUAACUACGUGCCAGCAGCCGCGGUAAUUC
rnacentral:rRNA from 1 species